UAAUUUGCAUAGAAACUGAGGUGAUCACGACUGAGCACUACAACUGCUGACGCAUACACUCAUGGGUGCUGGGCGGUUGCAGUUUUACCGUUCACACAUGCACUCUGUGUGCUACAUUGUUGUAGCAACAUUUUAAACCAAGCCAGUUCAAACUCAAGAAGACGGCAGCAUCUCUUCUUUGCACCGCGUUGACUGCUAGCCUGUCACUAAUUUUGUUUCUUCCAGCCUGUGCGACGUCUUGCUACGGGCGGCCAUCGGCGAGGUCUGCUGUUGAAGGACAGUUGAAUGCCAGAAUGGGACGUUUACGAGGCAGAAGGAAGCUAAACAAGUGGGUGAGGGACCUUACCUGAUACGAACCUUGUACCUUAAGAAAGCAGCUUUAGCCCUGCAAGCAGAUAUUAUAAUGUCCCAGAAGGCAGUAAGCGCCGAAAGGGCAGUUCUCAGGGAGGAUACCAGCGUGGGAAAUGGCGAAACUUGCAGAAGAGCCACAAUGUCCGGUCUAUGACGUCACCAGACCCAGCGUCUGUCUGCCACGCAUACAUCUUGCACCUCUGGUCCUGCCCAGUCCUCCCAAGGCAAGUAUACACGUGGUACAAAGGGCGUGAAGCAGCCGAUGUUUCGCAGCAAGCCUACGUUCGACGAGAUAAAAACCGGAACGACGAACUCCACCGUCGGCGCCUGUGAAGCGCGAGAAAGGAGGAGAACUGGUCUGACAGACAGGACAGUCUACGAGCAUCCUCCAUGCUAAGCGACAAGGUGCUAGACCGCCGAUGCGUUCUGUGACAGUUUGGUAGCAUGGACUGACGCGUGCACCAACGCACUUGCGCACCAUCACGCACACAACGCGCGUGCACGAUGACUCACCCGUCUAUAGAAGUCUAUAAAGCUAGCAGGCGGCUUUGUCAACAACAUUCCGUUUCGAAAGUGGAACAGCCCUCAUCACAUGGGAUUUGGCGGCCAAGGUCAGCCCUAUAUAUAGCAGGCAGGGCUGGGGCUUCACAAGCUGCACGCGGCAUAGAUACAAAAAAGUCUAUCUCAGGACCGGGCAUGAGGCGCUUCUAUUUCUUCCUGUUGGUGUCUAGACUGCAAGCGGAAUGCGCGAAUGUGUAAAAUGAUCACAGGUGCAGGCAAACAGAAGUGUACACUGUACACACCUUCAUAUCUUUCCAUCAAUACAUAUUGUACACUUUGGAAGAUGUUGUAUAUAGAAUUACACAAACGAAAAUAAUAAUCAUCGCCGUAGUCAUUGUCAUCGUUAGCUUGGCUGUCAAAAGCUCCAACAAGAAUAGGAAGAUGGUCACUUUGGUCACGGACUUACAGGAAGUGAUAAGAUUGCAUAAUCUCUGGCACAAACUAAACAUUAGCUGUUUACUACAGUUUUCAUGUUUUGUUCGGAAAGAACAAAGGUUGAGUAGCAUUCAAGUGUUUGCAUCACUAGCUCGCGUGAGAUAGACUAAAAAUAAACAGACCAUUGUUUAUUUCUCUA